UUAUAUGUGCGAAAUUCAACGAUCGUUAUCGUGUUUGGAAUGGUCUCGUUAGCUAACGGAUGAACAUUAACCAAAGCGCACCUUACGGCGUAGUGUAGUUUCGAGACCACUCUAAUCCAUUGCACCGUUUCUUUCCAUAUGCAAAUUUCCA
rnacentral:precursor_RNA from 15 species